AGUGGAUCCGAAGUAGGCUCCAGGCAGACAGCAGCGAGCCCGACACGGAGCUCAAACUCACGAACUCCCGGGUUCGUGACCUGAGCUGAAGUCAGAUGCACACCCGACUGAGCUACCCAGGCGCCCCACCCCGCCUUACCUAGAUGAGAGCAACACUACGAACCACCCAAAGCUCGUGGAGAAACUGGGGUGCCUAUGAGGAAGUUCCCAUCAGGAGUGGCCGCUCACCCGAUGUGGAUUUCCGUUCUCUCCUGCAAGAUGUAACAGGAGCAACGUGGAGCCUCCUUUGUAUUUAACGGGGACCCCUAGAGACCAGAGGCCCAAUGCAGGACACACCCUCCUGCAGCUCAGUUCUGGUGGAGGGACAGUUACCGAGGCAUCAAGCAGAACACGGAUCAUGGCAGAUGGCAAUAACGUGCUGGGGAGAAGGAAGGCGGGAAGGAGCCAGGGUAGGUGUGCUGGCGUUAGACCAGGUGGUAAGGAAAGGCCUCACAAAGGCCAGCAAGGGAAGCUGGUGUGGGGGGGGGGGGGGCAGUGGACACAGGAGGAAGAGGGUGAAGUCAGGGCCUGUUAUGAGCCAGAAGGGCCACCUGUGACUCACUAGCGCCCCCUCUGGCCACCGUGUGGGGAAGACUGAAAGGGCACCACCCCCUGAGAAGGGUGCUGUCGCCACCUGGCGGGAGGAGAAGGCGACAGCAGUGGGGCCAGAGGGAAGUGGCUCGUCGCCCUGCUCCUGAGACGGAGCUGACCAGGGGACAGACGCGACGCGGAGGAGGGUGUGCAGAGCAGGAGAGCUGAGAGGGGUCGUGCCGGGGAGUUCAGAGCUGGGACGGGCGGCGGCGGAGUUGGGAGAAAGCACGCAUGUGGUCUGCUCCGGCACGGGUCCCCAAGCACGGAGAAGGGAAAAUCAAGGCCCCACAGGCCGGCUUGAAUCACAUGACUGGCUCAGCCCAGAGGGCAAUACCGCCUUGCCAGAGGGCCUGCUGUUCCCCGUACAGGGAGUGGAGUAGUCUCGGAUCAGACAGACAGACGGCACCACCAUGCAGAAAACAUCCGGUUUAUUAGGAUUAGUUGUGGCGUACAUGGUUCCUUUGAUAGUUCUGAGCUGAUCACGAGUCCCCAGUAACGGUACACAGGUAGGGAUGCGGCUGAACACAGACAGUAACUGGUAAACUGCUUAGAAAAUCACGGGGACCCCAAUGGGUUAUGUUAGCGAUUUGUGAAAGAAAGAAAACGUAGCGUGGGACCUUGCCACGGGUGCGGAGCAGAGCAGGCGGGUUUUUGUGGCCUCCUUCAGUGCUCUCACUGCGAGCCCCCAUGCCCCCCAGAAGCUGGAUGGGAGGGCCAGAGACCAUCCACCCCCCUCCCUGCCAAGGAGCAGCGUCCCCCUCUUCCUGCUUACAGGUGGCAUCUCUUCCCAGAAAGACUGUCAGCCAUGAAGCCCA